CCCUUAGAUGUUCUGGGCCGCACGCGCGCUACACUGAUGAAUUCAACGAGCUCCUAACCUAGGCCGAAGGGUCUGGGUAAUCUUUGAAAUUUCAUCGUGAUGGGGAUAGAUUAUUGCAAUUAUUAAUCUUCAACGAGGAAUUCCUAGUAAGCGCGAGUCAUCAGCUCGCGUUGAUUACGUCCCUGCCCUUUGUACACACCGCCCGUCGCUCCUACCGAUUGAAUGGUCCGGUGAAAUGUUCGGACCGCGACAAGGCGGACGGUUCGCUGUCAGCUUUGCUGCGGGAAGUUCAUUAAACCUUAUCAUUUAGAGGAAGGAGAAGUCGUAACA
rnacentral:rRNA from 1 species